rnacentral:rRNA from 1 species
CCCAGACAGCCAGGAUGUUGGCUUAGAAGCAGCCAUCAUUUAAAGAAAGCGUAAUAGCUCACUGGUCGAGUCGGCCUGCGCGGAAGAUGUAACGGGGCUAAACCAUGCACCGAAGCUGCGGCAGCGACACUAUGUGUUGUUGGGUAGGGGAGCGUUCUGUAAGCCUGUGAAGGUGGCCUGUGAGGGUUGCUGGAGGUAUCAGAAGUGCGAAUGCUGACAUAAGUAACGAUAAAGCGGGUGAAAAGCCCGCUCGCCGGAAGACCAAGGGUUCCUGUCCAACGUUAAUCGGGGCAGGGUGAGUCGACCCCUAAGGCGAGGCCGAAAGGCGUAGUCGAUGGGAAACGGGUUAAUAUUCCCGUACUUGGUGUUACUGCGAAGGGGGGACGGAGAAGGCUAUGUUGGCCGGGCGACGGUUGUCCCGGUUUAAGCGUGUAGGUGUGUGUUCCAGGUAAAUCCGGUUCACUUUAACACUGAGGCGUGAUGACGAGGCACUACGGUGCUGAAGCAACAAAUGCCCUGCUUCCAGGAAAAGCCUCUAAGCAUCAGGUAACAUCAAAUCGUACCCCAAACCGACACAGGUGGUCAGGUAGAGAAUACCAAGGCGCUUGAGAGAACUCGGGUGAAGGAACUAGGCAAAAUGGUGCCGUAACUUCGGGAGAAGGCACGCUGACACGUAGGUGAAGUGAUUUACUCAUGGAGCUGAAGUCAGUCGAAGAUACCAGCUGGCUGCAACUGUUUAUUAAAAACACAGCACUGUGCAAACACGAAAGUGGACGUAUACGGUGUGACGCCUGCCCGGUGCCGGAAGGUUAAUUGAUGGGG